rnacentral:rRNA from 1 species
UACGAAGGGGGCUAGCGUUGCUCGGAAUUACUGGGCGUAAAGGGCGCGUAGGCGGCACUGUUAGUCAGGCGUGAAAGUCCUGGGCUCAACCUGGGAACUGCGCUUGAUACGGCAGAGCUAGAGGAUGGAAGAGGCUCGCGGAAUUCCCAGUGUAGAGGUGAAAUUCGUAGAUAUUGGGAAGAACACCGGUGGCGAAGGCGGCCAACUGGUCCGGUACUGACGCUGAGGUGCGAAAGCGUGGGGAGCAAACAGG